GACGAACGCUAGCGGCGUGCUUAACACAUGCAAGUCGAACGGUAAGGCCCUUCGGGGUACACGAGUGGCGAACGGGUGAGUAACACGUGGGUGAUCUGCCCUGCACUUCGGGAUAAGCCUGGGAAACUGGGUCUAAUACCGGAUAGGACCACUGCCUGCAUGGGUGGUGGUGGAAAGCUUUUGCGGUGUGGGAUGGGCCCGCGGCCUAUCAGCUUGGUGGUGGGGGGAUGGCCUACCAAGGCGACGACGGGUAGCCGGCCUGAGAGGGGGACCGGCCACACUGGGACUGAGAUACGGCCCAGACUCCUACGGGAGGCAGCAGUGGGGAAUAUUGCACAAUGGGCGCAAGCCUGAUGCAGCGACGCCGCGUGAGGGAUGACGGCCUUCGGGUUGUAAACCUCUUUCAGCACCGACGAAGCGCAAGUGACGGUAGGUGCAGAAGAAGGACCGGCCAACUACGUGCCAGCCGCCGCCGUAA
rnacentral:rRNA from 1 species